rnacentral:rRNA from 1 species
GACGAACGCUGGCGGCGUGCUUAACACAUGCAAGUCGAACGGAAAGGCCCUGCUUGCCGGGUACUCGAGUGGCGAACGGGUGAGUAACACGUGGGUGAUCUGCCCUGCACUUCGGGAUAAGCCUGGGAAACUGGGUCUAAUACCGGAUAGGAGCCAUUUUUAGUGUGAUGGUUGGAAAGUUUUUUCGGUGUAGGAUGAGCUCGCGGCCUAUCAGCUUGUUGGUGGGGUAAUAGCCUACCAAGGCGGCGACGGGUAGCCGGCCUGAGAGGGUGGACGGCCACAUUGGGACUGAGAUACGGCCCAGACUCCUACGGGAGGCAGCAGUGGGGAAUAUUGCACAAUGGGCGCAAGCCUGAUGCAGCGACGCCGCGUGGGGGAGGACGGCCUUCGGGUUGUAAACUCCUUUCGCUAGGGACGAAGCUUUUUGUGACGGUACCUAGAUAAGAAGCACCGGCUAACUACGUG